UGUUCUAUGAUUCUAUGAAUUUCAGUAUUGCAGCAUCUGUUUUGCUAGUAAUUUGCAUCCUAUUUAAAAACCAGCGACAGGGACAAUAAUGCAAUCUGUCUGUGUCAAAUAUUGGAAGUUAAAAAAAAGAUAUAUAUAAAUCACAUUGCAACCAUGGAGAAGGCCAUGGUAUAAAUAAGGAGACAGUGGAGAAAAAGGGAAACUGUUAGAUGCCUCAUUGUCCAAUAUAUAAAUUGCUACAUGUAAGACACUUAAACUGCAAGAAGGAAUAAAAGACACUGAAAAAUAAGGGAGAAAGCCAAAAGACAACCUGAGGAUACAGACUGGCAAACUGGUCUCAGCUUACAUGGUGACUGGUGCCAUUCAGAAGUGGAAAAGGAAAUUGCUGUUAAAAAGCAGCAUCUGUUGGGAGGUGCAGCAGCAAAGGUGGCUGUGGAGCUCCCCUUGCAGCAGUUUCCUGGAGGGGAUUGUGAAUGAGCCUCUUCCAAUUGCUCCUAUGACCAUGGUCACAGGCCUGCAGAAGCUUUGUGCACUUGGAAACUCUCUCUGUCAAGUUCUGCUGUGACUCUGUUUCAGUAGAGUGCCUGAUUGCAGCUCCAAGGGAGUUGCACAAACCUUGAAGGGACCUCCAGAUGAAAUACAUAUUGGCUGCAGUAUUUUGGGUGCUAAUAACCCAUCUAAACCUGUCUGAGUUCCACAAAGAUCACAGCAGGAGCCUUUUCUCAGCAGAACAAUCCUGUGCCCUGCUUCCCUAUUCCUCUUGCAGAGCACUGGGGAAGGAGAAGGGAGAACUAUUCACGAGAAAGCCUCUGAAAUUUAAAAACAGAAACAAAGUGGUUUUCCCAGUCUUUUAUUCUUAGAAACACCAGAGUGAUGGGACAUAGAGGGCUGCAAGGCUGUUCUGGCUGGUUUCUUUCAGUGCUCUGGGUGAGACUUUUGAGCCAGCUCUCUGCCUGCAAUGCCAGCCCAAGGUGGUGGUGGUGGGCUCAGUGUGACACAGGGCAGCUCUGGAGUGUCCAUGUCCACGCUGGUGCCUGGAGCUCUGCUCCACAGAGCUGCUCCCCGUGGGUGCCUUGUUUUCAGUCAGAGUGGCUACAAACCCUCCAGGCCUCCCCCUGUGCCUCUCUGCAGGGCUGCACUGGGCAGGGGGGAUGAAGCAGUUUGGGUCAUGGCCUGGGGGACACUUCUGCAGUGCAGUCCAUGGUGUGGGCCAUGUCCCUUGUCCACAACCCCAAACAGCUCUUGGGAGGAGCUGCUUCAGCCUCCUUGUCGGACAUAAUGCAUCCACAGGGCUUUUAAUGAUUCAGAGAAAUGUCUCAAGUAGGGGAACGGAAGAGAAAUUCACUGAUAGCACCUUCCCAAUCCUUUUUUGCCAAGGUUAAAAAAAAAUUUGGAAAUUAAACCUGGAAUCUAUUUCACUGUCUCCUCCUUUCUCCUCUCCUCCCCUUCUUCCUUCUGUUCCCUCUUCCCCACAGAAAAAAAUCACCACGCAACUCAAGGGGGACAUUCCUGCAGAAGGAGCUGGGAAUUAAUCUUGUUGCUGAAAUGAAGAAUAGAAAAGUUCUUCAAAACUUUGUCAUUUGUUCAUAAAAUACUUAUGGACUUAAAAGGACUUAUGAUUUAUUUGUCCUCCCUUUCUCAUUAAUCUUUGCCAUCUUCAGGCAUUCAAGAAAUGUAUGUCAGCUCCCCCUGAUUCAUUAAAAGGAAUAAAAAGGUUUCCUUUAUCUGCCUUCUUUUGCUGAGAACUGUAGGACUGGACUUCAUGGAUGUUUUUGGGAAACAUAAAAAAAAAAGAAAUGUACUUUGAAAAUUAAAUAGAACCUUAAGAGGAAUAUCAGCUCUUACUGUAUUUGUGAUAAAACUGUAUGAUUUAGACUCUAGGUAUAGCAUAAGAAAAAGGGAGCACAUAUAUCUUUAUUGAAUGGAUGUGCCCUUCAGGAGUAAGGAGCCUUUAGUAACACUUGCUUUGAACCUGCUGCCAGAAGAAUCCUUGGCCUGCCAACAUACACCUGCAUCUAAUGGACAUGGCAGGACACAGGCUCUCAUGGCUUUGCAAGGGCACUGUGCAACUCCAGGAUUUGUUGAAGUACUCUUGACACCUCAAGUUACUGAUUGCAAGCCUCUCCCAGCAUCACCCAAUGAAUGACAGAAAGAGGGAAAGGUGACACUCUAGGGAAAAGUGGCUAUCCUCCCAUUAAUCAAUGGCGAAAACCUACUCACAUCAUUCCCUCCAGCACAAAUAAAGGUGAAAAAUCUCGUUUCUGCUCAACAGGGCUAUGGCUAAGAUAGGCAGAUCUUCAAUUAAAGUGUGCUGGGAGAGUCAGGUGUGUGUUUUGGAGCCCAAAACAUGGAACUGGAUGUCAGCAGUUGUACUAAGAGCGGAAAAGCUUCCCAGGCUCCCAGCAGCAUGCCAGGAUUGCAGAGAGCUAGGGAAAGGGAAGACAGUCCCAAGAUGAAUGGGCAGUCUGGACCAGAGCCACCAGGAGUGAAGUCAGCAGAACUGAGCAGUAACUUGGGGAAAGGUAGAAAAAAACUGCUCUGCAGCCCCACCACAGCAUGGUCUUGCCCUGCUGUUGUGCCAGGAGCAGCCUCAGCAGUGACCCUGCCCUGCUGCCAUAGCAGGAACCACAACCUCAUUGUUCUUCAAGUACUGAACACCUCAAAAGCCUCUACAGUCUUGUGGUUUUGAUGAAGACUUUGAGAAGAAGAAGGAAAUUGGGAGUUUUAUCUGGUACCAGUCUUCUCCAUAGGAAAAACAGCAGCAUUUUUCAACCAGUUGGCCUCAUCCUCCCUCCUGGCCUUGAAAAUCCGUGAAUCUGAAACACAGAAGAUGAAGAAGGAUUUCUGCUUGUAUCAAGAAAACCCUUUUAUUUCUCAAUGUUAAUAUUCCUAAUUUACAUUUACUGCUUGGGGGUUUGGAGAUGAUGUGGAACAGCAACUAUGAACCCUCCCUCCACAUAUGUUGGGACAAGCACCUAUUUAUAGCUUUUGAUUUGCAGUUGGAGGAAGAACCAUAAAUAUUCCCUACUUCAGCAGGAAAACAGUUCCAGCACUAUAAAAAAAGAGCCUCAGUACAUAGGAAUGGCAUAGGAUUUGGGCUGCAUUGAUUAUGCUGCUUCAGCUAAGAUUUAUCUGUUUGAAGUUUCUGAGACUGGUGCAAUCUUGUGUUCAUUUAAAGAUAGCACAGCCCCAUGGGGCCGGUUGUUAACUUUGCAUCAUUAACAGAAUGGUGUGCAAAAAAUGCUCGGUGAAAACAGCCCAACUCCUUGGCUUUAUGCUCCUGCAUAUUCUAGGAGGAGACCUAAAACUCACUGAUGUGAAAAUUUGCAAUGUAUUAUUAUGCCUUUGGGGACAUGACAAUAAUUUGUGAUACCACACCUUUUAACUAGUCAUCUGUGAUGAGGAGAGAGGGGAAAGGGCUGUAAUUGUUCUGCAUGUUUGUUAAAGGAUUAUUUCACUAGGUGUUUGAUAAAAUACAAUCCUUCAUGAUCAUGUAUAAUUUUGCAGUGUUAAAAAUAAUUAUCAGAAUAGCUUUUUACAGUGUUGUGUUUUAAUGUAGCUGGGUAGGUGUUUCAUAUGCAGUUUACUGAUGUUGUAUUUUGAUGUCUCCAAGGAGGAUAUGGAAUUGCUCUUCCCUGGUCAGAAUUUCUCAAUACUUUUACUCACACAGUGCACCUAUCCUUGGUAUUUCUGUUGCAUGCAGUUCCAGUGAAAAUAAAUGUUCUUAAUUCCAGCCAACUGAAAUGCAAACAGUAUGUUAAAU